rnacentral:rRNA from 1 species
AGUCUGCAACUCGACUACAUGAAGCUGGAAUCGCUAGUAAUCGCGAAUCAGAAUGUCGCGGUGAAUACGUUCCCGGGUCUUGUACACACCGCCCGUCACACCAUGGGAGUCAGUAACGCCCGAAGCCGGUGACCCAACCGAUAAGGAGGGAGCCGUCGAAGGUGGGACCGAUAACUGGGGUGAAGUCGUAACAAGGUAUC